GGAAGAUAGCCCAAGAGUAACUGGCUGAGAACAAAGUGUUUUCCUCCGAAUGAAGAAAUGAAAGGGUACCAAAGAGAGUGUUGAUGAUGAUAUGCAAGUAAACCAAAUGGCUUCAUUGUAUUUGUGUUUGAAUUCUUGGUCUUCUUCUUCUUCUCCUUCCCAGCUCCCUCGCAGACUAGGAGAAACAUACUCUUCUUUAUCUACUUAUUCUUCUUCUUAUGCUGCCUUUAGUAAUGGUAGACGCACCAGAGGAUCCUUGAAACCCUUAGUUAUUAGUGGAGACCCUCCAACUUUUGUCUCUGCUCCAGGUCGCCGUAUUGUUGCUGGUUAGUUGUCUUCUUUCAUUUCUUUUUUCAUUGACUGUUUGGUUUCCUAAUACAUAAACUCAUUAAUUGUACGCAUAAAGCUUUUUCCUAAUUUUUUUUGGUGUAUACCAGAUUCUGUUAUGAUUUUCGUAGGACCCAAACUGGAUUGGGGUCUCCAAGCAUUGCCACGCUAUUUUUUUCUUGUUCUGCUAUCCCUGUCGCAAGUAAAACAAGUUAACAGAUUUUUAAAAUUUCCAUCGGUUGUGUGCUGGAUUCAUCCUGAGAGGUGAAAACCCAAUUGUGGUAUAGUUCUUAAAAAUUCAUGGAUGGUUACGAAGGAACGACCAGUGAGGUUUGGCUCAAUGGCAUUUGGAGUUGUGUCCACUCCUGGCUAUGUGAUUUUGAAUUGGAAUCCCAAUCAUGGCUUAAUAAAUUAAUAAAAAAAUAUAAUUGUCUGGUCAAGCUGAGACCACGCGUGCGAGCAUGUGAGGGAGAGAGGGGACUUGGGGAUGCUUAUGGCUUCUCCCUUCAUAAUUAGUGCAAAAACAAGCAGGGGCGGAACUAGGUGAGAGCUUGAGGGGCCUUGGCCUCCAAAAAGUUUUCAAAAUUAAAAAUUUACCCUAAAUUUUAAUAUUUAUCUGAAAAUUACUGUUUGCGCCCUAAAGAAUUUUUAAAUUAAAAUUUUACUUAUAAAUUUUAAUAUAUUUAAAAAAAAUUGUUUAGCCCUCCAAUAUUUUUAUUUUUAUUUCAAUCGCUAUAUUUUUAUGUAAAUUUCAUUCAUAUUUUUUUAUAUUAUUGAAUUAUCAUUUCUUAAUAUUUUGUAUUUUUACUUUAAUUCCUUUUUUUACUAAGAUUUCAGUUAGUUUCUUUUUAGUAUUUAUAUUUGGCCCCCAAAAAUAAACUUCUAGUUUCGCCCCUGAAAACUAGGAUUUAAAAUGGAUUUUCCCUACACACCAAAUAUGUUUUUUUUUUUUUUGUGAAAUAUCAUGAGGAGCAGUCCACAUAAAUCCAGCCAUUAGUUUAAAGAAAGCAACUGACUAUGUACAAAAGGAAAAAAAAGCAGUUGAUGACUGAUUGAAUUGCAGAAAAUGUUCUCAGCGGACCUUCUUACGAAUGGAUGACUUGGUGCUCCUAUACAUACCGAGAAUGAAACUCCAAGGUAGAGCCUUUCUGAGGGCUUUGAGAGAGCUUUUGAUAAUACCAGUAAAUGCCAAAUACAAAGGGAAUUGCAUGAUUGCAAAUGCAGUGACUGGAAGGAAAGCGACGGUGUAAAUGAGACUUCUUGACCACUGUGCCUUCAAAUGAAUUUCCAGCACAAUUGUUGCAGCAAAUGCAAGCAUGGUAGCUGCCACUGAGAUGAAGAGAAAUGUGAAGCCAAGUGUUAGUUUCCGAGGGAGAGAGAUUCGGAAGUCUUGAAGCCGAAAUGGAGAUGUGAGGAUGGAAAGGAACAUCACAACUGCAGUCAAUGAGCUGGCGAGCGAGAUAAUAUCCAAAAUUGUGAAAACGACAAAGAAAGGAUAAUGGAGAAGGAUGGGAAGGCCAGUCUUUUCAUCGGUACCUCCUGGAACAGUGUAGAUAGCAGUGAAACCAACGGUGGCGAUGAGAACAGCGAUAACAGAGCAAGACUCAGAUGUCCGUUUUAGCCAUUCUUGUGCAUCCUUGUGAAGCUUGGCAUGUGUCAGCUCAAAUAAUUCGAAGGCAGUAUGACCUUUUUCGUUGUGGUGCAUGAUGUAGUGAGAAGGGAUUAUCUUCUUUACACGCUCAAACCAGCGCAGCUCCCCUUGCAGUUGGAGCACAGUACUAGGUUUGUGUCCUCCAAAAUCAUUAUGCAAGUCUGCAGCAUGAUGCAAUAAGCUGUAGCCAUUAUUAUCAAUUUUGCGGACUAAAAUAGCCAUUGGGAUUUUCAUCUUUUUUACACGACGAAAGAUAUCCCUUUGGCGGUUCUUUAUAGCUACAUGUAAUAUGUUCUGCCCCAUAUCGCUAACAUGCUCAACAGCCUGAGGAUAUGCCUUCAGUAUCUCAUCCACAAUCUCUAUUAUACCAGUGCUAUUUGCAAUCAGCAAUGGCCUAGAAGGUUCAAUUGUCUUGUCCACGGGAUUGCCAUUUGUGUCUUCUUUACCACCUCCAAGUGAGCUAGUUCGUCUGCUUCGUACUGUUUCUCUAGAUCUUUCUGCUUCGCCAAAGGAAAUUGUACCUAUAUCCGGCUCUCCAUGACUGGUCUCCCAUGAUUUAUCUAACCUCACAAGCAGCUUUGUUAAUUUCAUAACAGAUUCAUGCCUUUUCUUUUCUUUCCUGAUUCUAUCCAAAACUGGCCAUCCUUGAGCCAGGAAAAUCCAUAUUGUACGAUUCAUCUUUGAAAUCGCUUUGCGAAGCCUUGAAUAGGUGAAUGGGAGGAAAUGAUUGGUUGUGGGUCCACUCUCCAAGUCAUCCUUUUUACUGAAAGAUACAGUAUCUUGGUGAUCCUCUUCAUGCUCAUUGCCAUCUGGAAGACAUUUAUAGAUCAAUCCCUUCAAUUUGCCCAUGGAUUGACUGCUCCUGUAAGCUGAGCGCAUUCUGGCUAACAGAUGAAGACACGUCCUGCCAUUUCCAUCUUUCAACUCUCCUAGUGUUUCAUCUGUCGUCUGCAGAUACAAAGCUGUUUCAAAGUGUUCAGCGUGGACAGCAAUGUGAAGAAUGGAGGUUGAAUCAUUUCUCCUGCCAUGGAAGCUCAUAACAGAAGGACCUUUUUGUCGGUGAGUUGCUAAUAUUUCUUCUCUAUGGCUCAACACUUCACUAGCCAGGAACUUCACCAUUUCUGUCUUGCCAAACGCCGCAGCUCUAUAAAGCGGCGUUUCGCCUAAUUUAUUCUUAAUAUCUAACAGAGUCCUUUCAUAAUCCAGUAAAAGUUUUGCUGCUGUGACAUUUCCCGCAGCAGCCGCCUCAUGAAGAGCAGUGUUUCCGUACUCAUUUCCUAUCAAUAAAGGACUCUGCUCUGAUCCUUUUGAUACUUCUCUUGCAAUUUUGACAAUACUUUCGACCAGACUCGUACUUCCACUGUAUAUUGCAAUAUGGAGAGCGGUGUCUCUGUUAACUGUCAGUGGAGACACCACAGCUUCUGUGUUUUGUUCAAAGAAGCUUUUCAACCUUUCCCAAUCUCCAUCUAAGAAUGCUUGAUAAGACACAGACAUCUCUGCAACGAUCACAUCUCUCCCGAUUUCUUGCAUCACCCUCUUUUCCCCUGCAAUGCUUACAUCUCUUUCUUCUUGGAUUCCUUCAUUUUCAGUUCUUUCAUCGCUACUCAUCUUUCCGCUAGAUGCUUCGGUUUCUUGCAUGUCCCUCUCUCCCAACUUUGUGGAUUGG
rnacentral:misc_RNA from 1 species